CACAAUACUCACCUUCUGUAACAGAAGUACAAACACCAAUUAAGCAAGUUGUUUCUAGCCAUCACAUCAAGAUUGAAGUAUCUCCCCCUCAUCAAAACUACAUUCUGGAAGGUUCACCUGCAAGUUUCAGGGGAGAUCCGGGAAAUUACAGGCCAGUCAGCCUGACGUCAAUACCGGGUGUGCCUGUAUCAGUCCUCUGUAUUGGGUAACCACAUCCAGGAGUCAAACCUGGAAUCACACAAUGUACGAGAUAUAUGGAACAGCACAUGGCUACAUCUUUACCAACAGCCUCUCUCAAUAUACUGUAUA